rnacentral:rRNA from 1 species
CUUUGACGCAAGUUGCGCCCGAUGCCAUUAGGUUGAGGGCACGUCUGCCUGGGUGUCACAUAUCGAAGCCUCCUGCCAAUUUCCUUUUGACAGGUAUUGUGCAGGGUGGAUGUUGGCCUCCCGUGAGCUCUUUCGUCUCAUGGUGGGUUGAAAAUUGAGACCUUGGUAGGGUGUGCCAUGAUAAAUGGUGGUUGUGUGACCCACGAGACCAAUCAUGCGCUGCUCUAUUGAAUUUGGCCUCUUUUACCCAUAUGCGUUUUUAAACGCUCGUGAUGAGACCUCAGGUCAGGCGGGGCUACCCGCUGAAUUUAAGCAUAUCAAUAAGCGGAGGAAAAGAAACUAACAAGGAUUCCCUUAGUAACGGCGAGCGAACCGGGAUAAGCCCACCAUGA